GACGAACGCUGGCGGCGUGCUUAACACAUGCAAGUCGAACGGGUCUGCCCUGUUUUUUGCGGGGUGGGUCAGUGGCGAACGGGUGAGUAACACGUGAGUAACCUGCCCCUCACUUCUGGAUAACCGCUUGAAAGGGUGGCUAAUACGGGGUGUUCUGGCUGUGCCGCAUGGUGUGGCUGGGAAAGAUUCACUUUUGUGGUGUUUUGGUGGGGGAUGGGCUCGCGGCCUAUCAGCUUGUUGGGGGGGUGAUGGCCUGCCAAGGCUUUGACGGGUAGCCGGCCUGAGAGGGUGGGCGGUCACACUGGGACUGAGAUACGGCCCAGACUCCUGCGGGAGGCAGCAGUGGGGGGUAUUGCACAAUGGGCGGAAGCCUGAUGCAGCGACGUCGCGUGCGGGAUGGAGGCCUUCGGGUUGUGAACCUCUUUCGCCGGUGAAGAAGGUCCUGCUCUUUGUGGUGGGGUUGACGGUAGCCGGGUUAUGAAGCGCCGGCUAACUACGUG
rnacentral:rRNA from 1 species